rnacentral:rRNA from 1 species
AACGAACGCUGGCGGCAUGCCUAACACAUGCAAGUCGAACGGGACCUUCGGGUCUAGUGGCGCACGGGCGCGUAACGCGUGGGAACCUGCCCUUAGGUUCGGAAUAACUCCCCGAAAGGGGUGCUAAUACCGGAUAAUGUCUUCGGACCAAAGAUUUAUCGCCUUUGGAUGGGCCCGCGUUGGAUUAGCUAGUUGGUAGGGUAAAAGCCUACCAAGGCGACGAUCCAUAGCUGGUCUGAGAGGAUGAUCAGCCACACUGGGACUGAGACACGGCCCAGACUCCUACGGGAGGCAGCAGUGGGGAAUAUUGGACAAUGGGCGAAAGCCUGAUCCAGCAAUGCCGCGUGAGUGAUGAAGGCCUUAGGGUUGUAAAGCUCUUUUACCCGGGAUGAUAAUGACAGUACCGGGAGAAUAAGCUCCGGCUAACUCCGUG